UAACCCCAAAUGCCCCAACCUAUUUUAUAAAUAACAAAUUGAAUAAUGAUCCCCAGUCAGUAUUUAUAAGCUCUAAAAAGAUUUCAAGUCUCAGGUACGACCCGCGAACCAUUUAAUUUGAGGUGGCAGUCUGAGAUAUUUGAGAGAAAAAAAAUUGACUUUGAUUUUUGCCUUAAGCUAAACUCGGUUCUGGCCGUAUCUGGAUUGAAACAAUAGUCUUGUCCACUUUUUUGCUAUUAGAAACUAAAAUUUCCAAUAGAAUUAUUUAACAUUAAAUGAACAUGAUGAAUAAAAACUGGCGUAUUUUUUGUUUUUGGCCGAGGUUUGCAUGUCUGACUGAAAUGUCUGUUUCGCUGGACUUAUAUAUUGAAUACUUUUUUCAAGACGAAACUGUAACCUGCCUGCUGGGUGUAGCCUUUAUGUCUCCAUUUGUCGACCGUUAUUCAUAAAUUCGUUGUCAUUUCAG
rnacentral:lncRNA from 1 species